AGUUGCCAUCAGUUCGGCUGGCACUCUAUGGAGACUGCCACCUAAAGUGGAGGAAGUGGGGAUGACGUCAAGUCAGCAUGGCCCUUACGUCCGGGGCUACACACGUGCUACAAUGGCCGGUACAAAGGGUUGCGAAGCCGUGAGGUGGAGCGAAUCUCAAAAAGACCGGCCUCAGUUCGGAUUGGAGGCUGCAACUCGCCUCCAUGAAGUCGGAAUCGCUAGUAACCGCAGAUCAGCUACGUUGCGGUGAAUACGUUCCCGGGCCUU
rnacentral:rRNA from 1 species